rnacentral:rRNA from 1 species
GUCCACGCCCUAACGAUGACGACUAGAUGUCGGAAGGGUCUGCCUUUCGGUGUCGUAGCUAACGCGUUAAGUCGUCCGCCUGGGAGUACGGCCGCAAGGUUGAAACUCAAAGGAAUUGACGGGACCCGCACAAGCGGUGGAGCAUGUGGUUCAAUUCGAUGCAACGCGAAGAACCUUACCUGGCCUUGACAUCCGCGGAACUUGGCAGAAAUGCCUUGGUGCCUUCGGGAAUCGCGAGACAGGUGCUGCAUGGCUGUCGU